AGAGUUUGAUCCUGGCUCAGAUUGAACGCUGGCGGCAUGCCUAACACAUGCAAGUCGAACGGCAGCAUGACCUAGCUUGCUAGGUUGAUGGCGAGUGGCGGACGGGUGAGGAAUGCAUCGGAAUCUGCCCAGUCGUGGGGGAUAACGUAGGGAAACUUACGCUAAUACCGCAUACGACCGAAAGGUGAAAGCGGGGGAUCGAAAGACCUCGCGCGAUUGGAUGAGCCGAUGCCGGAUUUGCUUGUUGGUGGGGUAACGGCCCACCAAGGCGACGAUCCGUAGCUGGUCUGAGAGGAUGAUCAGCCACACUGGGACUGAGACACGGCCCAGACUCCUACGGGAGGCAGCAGUGGGGAAUAUUGGACAAUGGGGGCAACCCUGAUCCAGCAAUGCCGCGUGUGUGAAGAAGGCCUUCGGGUUGUAAAGCACUUUUAUCGGGAAAGAAACACGCAGGGCUAAUACCUUUGCGGACUGACGGUACCCGAUGAAUAAGCACCGGCUAACUCCGUGCCAGCAGCCGCGGUAAUAC
rnacentral:rRNA from 1 species